rnacentral:lncRNA from 1 species
GCGCCGCCGCCGGCGAGCUCGCCCGCCGGCCGGAACCCUAGAACCGGGCCAGUCAGGUUUCGCCACGUGGCAAGUUUUUGUUUUGUUUUUUUUUAUUUUUAUUCGGCCAAAGUGGAUAAUACACUUUUGCAGAAAAGACCCUACAACUUCAAACCUUUAUAUCUUUCAAACCGUUUGUCCAAAAUCUGUGUUCCGCACCUUUCUGGAAUCGUCGUAACGUGUAGAAUAUUUUGGCACUGUUUAAUUUCAGUUUUGAACAAAUUAGUCAGAAGCAAUUUACAGAUUGGUUGAAUAGAGUUUAAAUUUCAAAUGAAUUGUUUCAAAAUAGAUUUGAGCAUGUUAUCUUGCUGUAAAAUUAUUUAAAGUUGUUCUCUAUCCAUUAGGACCAGAGAAGAAAUUAUUUUGUGUAUAAUCAUGGCAUACAAGUUAAAUAAUGCUCUAUGUUGCAAGAGCCGCACAAUCUUUUGUUUUAAACCCUAUUCAUGUAUCAUGCAUAUUAAUUACCACUUUGAUGUUGUAUAAUCUGUCCAAAUCUUUUGAGAGCCUUUUCAAAACAGAAACAAAACUUUGUACGUUAGAAGUAACCUUUGUGUGCAUCAGCAUAGCAUAUGCAUCAUGGCAUGGUUUUUGUAUUGUAUGUUGUGUUUAUGGUGUGUGUUCCUUUUAUUUUAGAUUGUGUGGAGUGUAAUCAUUGUUGUUGCGAAGAGUGCGAGAACUACCACAACCUUGGACAAGGCAAGUUCACUUUGAUCAUAUCCCAUUAUAAUUGUGGUUUUAAAAUACUUAUGCAUCAGUGUUGUUGGUAGAGAUGCAUUGAUAGGACUAUUACUCGUACCUCUAUGCUAGCUAUAAAUCCCAAGUAGUAUAGUUUACCCUCGCCAUUACCUUGCUACCAAAUUGCCAUCGAUUGUAGUUUGAAUGCUAAGCUAUGGUAGUAUCGUGGGGGAAAUAACUACAUUAUGAUAUUGUUAUGCCUUUGGCUAUAUGAAAUGUU